rnacentral:lncRNA from 1 species
UUUUAAGCAAUUGUUCCUUUUUUAAAAAUUUAUUUUCCCUAAGUUUCUCAUUUUUGUUAGUUAACAAUUAUAUUAUUUAAAUUAAAAUAAAUAAUAAAAACUUAAAUAAAAUACAUAAUAAAUUAAAAUUUGAAUAUUUUUACUUAAUAUUAAAAGUGUUGAAAAGGAUUCCUAUUAUAUUAGUUUUGACAUAUAAUCCAAGAUUUUCAUGAUUUAAUCACAACACCCAAAAUUGGCUAACAACUAAUUUCAACACCAAAAUAAAAUUAGUGAAUAAAAAAGGGAAUACGAUCGAUAAACUUACAUUUUCAGAGGAAAUUAGUUUCUUCUUCUUUGUUUCUUGAUAGUAAAGUCUUCAGCCAACAAGAAUUACUCUUCUGUUUUUGAGUUGUGCAAGAAGAAGAAAAAAUACUUCUCUAGUCUUCUCUUAAGUUGGUUUUAAUUUAUACUAAUUUUUGUUGUAAAAUUAAACGGAUGUCACGUGGGUCAGCUUUUAAUUGUCAUCACUUAUCAUACUAAAAUAAUGUCAUGGAAAGCCAUCAAUUUUUGAAGUGUCAUAACUUGGCAAGUAUAUAAUUUCUCAAUGAUCAGAUGUUAAUUUAUAUAUUUCUCAUGAACUAUAAAUAGCCAUGUUUUCAUUCACAAAGUAAUAUAUAAGAAAAGUUUAAUAUAUAGUAUGCUAUCUCUUUGUUUGUCCUUAUUAAUUUAGUUUAUUAAUAUUAGUUUGUUAGCUAGUUAUUUUAUAACACGUUAUCAACACGAAAUUCUGUCAACUUGAGCUACUUUAAAUUGGUUAAAUGAGUAAGAAUUUUAUUUUUCUAAAAAAGAAGUCUAAAAUUUCUGAACUUAAAUUUGUUGCCUUGGAUAUAUCGGACAAAGGAUACUCAUCAUGGAUAUUAGAUGCUAAAAUUCACAUGGAAGCAAUGGGUCUGGUAGAAACCAUCAAAAAUAAUAACCAGACAUUCAGUCAAGAACAUGCAAAAGUUAUGAUAUUUCUCCUUCACUAUCUCGACGAGGGAUUGAAAAUGCAAUACGUCACUAUUAAAGACUCACUUGUACUAUGAAAUAAUUUGAAAGAUAGACAUGACCACCUAAAGUUGGUCAUUCUACCAUAGGCGCAUCAUGAUUGGUUAAUUUGAGGUUAUCGGACUUUAAAAGUAUAACUGAAUAUAAUUCUUCCAUGUAUAGAAUUAUAUCACAAUUAAAUUUAUGCGGAGAAGAGGUCACUGAAAAUGAUAAGCUUGAGAAAACAUACUCCACAUUUCCUGCCUCGAGUAUGCUCCUGCAGCAGCAAUAUCAAGAAAUGAGUUUUAAUAUAAUUCCAAAUUACUUUCACAUCUUCUUAUUGCUGAAAGACAUAACGACCCAUUGACAGAAAAAAUCAUGAAAUGGGUUUUAUAAAUAAAAAUAUAACUGAAUAUAUAAGAAUGGAAUACAAAUGAAUACAUCCUGAUGUUUGGGAUAUAUUCCAAUAUUGAGAUACAUCGUGAAUUUUUGUAUUGUUCAAUUUCAAAGUCAAAUAAUAAUAAUAUAACAAUACUUGAUAUUAAAAUAUAAAUAUAAUUUAGUUUAAAUACAAAUUACUGUAUUUGUCAUGUUUUUCACCAAAAAUGGAUUUGCAGUAUUAUUUUAUGUUAGUACUAAUUUGUAUUUUUUUUGUGACUCAUACAAGUUAACACAUACAAUUAAAAUAAAUAAAUGUUAAAUACAACAAAUAUAAUAUAACAUGGAUACUAAUACAUUUUGAGUGAAAAUACAUACAAAGAAUUCCAUGAUAUUAUAUAAAACAGAGGACAUUAGAAUUUGGGAAACUAAUCAACUCUAAUAAGAUAUAAAAAUGAAGCAUCAUUAACUAAAAAUAAUACACGGUCUAUUCCUACACGAUCUCUCUCGUGCUAUUCUAGCCGCAGAUCGUACAUUUUCGAGCAAUUCUUGGAUAAUACAUAAAUCAAAAGAAAAAAUUUCCAAACCUUUGAAUAUUAUUUGGUAUACAUCUAGUAAUUCUGAUUGAGUCCGUUAUUGUAGACAAUCAGAUGCUAUCCCAAAAAAUUUGAAAGAAGAAAUUUUCCUUUUAACAAAUAUUGAAAUAUAUUAAACAUCAGACAAAAUAUAUACAUAAAUUCUAGAAAUCAUUUUGCGAGUUUAAAAAAAUUGAAAAUCAUAAAUAUAUGAUGAAUAUUUAAACAAAAUCAUAUGAAAAUUGAAAAAUCCGUAAAUGUAUAUAAUCGGUGCUUUAAACAUCAAAUUAAAAAAAUCAAAACAAAUGAUGGAAAUUACCUUGUCAAUCGAAAAUCUUCUUGAAUUAAUAAAUAGAUUUAGAUUAACAAUAAAGAAAAAUUCUCGAUGUGCAAUAAUUUAGCAGCUUGAAGGAAUCUAAACUUAAACGUGAGAUGUGGAGAUGAAACAUGCAAUUUGGGGAAGAAAGGUUAAU